CAGUAGCCGCGGGAAUACGUAGGGUGCAAGCGUUAAUCGGAAUUACUGGGCGUAAAGCGUGCGCAGGCGGUGUUGUAAGACUGAUGUGAAAUCCCCGGGCUCAACCUGGGAACUGCAUUGGUGGCUGCAACGCUGGAGUGCGGCAGAGGGGGAUGGAAUUCCGCGUGUAGCAGUGAAAUGCGUAGAUAUGCGGAGGAACACCGAUGGCGAAGGCAAUCCCCUGGGCCUGCACUGACGCUCAUGCACGAAAGCGUGGGGAGCAAACAGGAUUAGAUACCCCGGUAGUCCCUGUCUCUUAUAC
rnacentral:rRNA from 1 species